UAAUACCUGCAGCUCAAGUGGUGGCCACUAUUAUUGAGCCUAAAGCGUCCGUAGCCGGACCUGUAAAUCCCUGGGUAAAUCCUAUCGCUUAACGGUAGGAAUUUCGGGGAGACUGCAGGUCUUGGGACCGGGAGAGGCCAAAGGUACUCUCGGGGUAGCAGUGAAAUGCUGUAAUCCCGAGGGGACCACCUGUGGCGAAGGCGUUUGGCUUGAACGGCUCCGACGGUGAGGGACGAAGGCCAGGGGAGCGAACCGGAUUAGAUACCCGGGUAGUCCUGGCUGUAAACGCUGCCCGCUUGGUGUUGUCCUUCUUUUGGGGGAGGGCAGUGCCGGAGCGAAGGUAUUAAGCGGGCCGCUUGGGGAGUACAGCCGCAAGGCUGAAACUUAAGGAAUUGGCGGGGGAGCACAGCAACGGGAGGAGCGUGCGGUUU
rnacentral:rRNA from 1 species